CUACGAUCACUAAGACUACAAUCAUCGUAUUUUCGAGUUUUCAAGUAAAUAUAAAAGUAAAAUUCUCGAUUUAUAGAAUCGUAUAGAGUUAUAAACAAUCGAUUCGUACGUGCUACGGCCUAAUGCAGAUCAUCAGUCUUGGUGAGGAAAUCCAUAAGGAUACUUUUAAAUAGUCACCAGCUUUGAAUACAUCGAUUGAUUUAAAAAAAAAA